ensembl:lncRNA LOC102547042 uncharacterized LOC102547042
AUCAAAAUGAAUUGGGCAGGAGAGGAACCCUGGGAUAUUCUGCCGCGCCGCAGCCGCAGCCGCAGCCGCAGCUGCACAGGAAAAGAAGUGGUACCCUGGCUGUAUCAGAGCAGAGUAAGCAGAAGAUGGAGAACUCGGCUCCUCCAGCACCACGCCUGCCUAGAUGCUGCCUGGAUGCUGCCUGGAUGCUGCCCUGCUCCCGCCUUGAUGAUAAUGGACUGACCCUCUGAACCUGGCAGGUGUGAAACCCAGUCUGUGAACAACCCUUGAGGUCCUCAUCUUGGCUUUGCUGGCAUCCAGCUCUUGCAGCUGCUCAUCCAGUUCCAUGAACAUCUCACGCUCCAGAUCCUCCCGACCUAACUAAGCGCUCUGCCCCCUCUCCAGAUGAGUCAUCUUCAAAGACUGUGAUCCAUAUUGGCUGUUCCUGAAAAACUCUUUGGCUGAGUGCUUUCCACAUAGCUCAGGAUGUGUGUGCAGGAGCGACAGAGGUCAGAAGAGAGCACCACAUCCCCUGGAACUGGAGUUACAGGCAGAUGCAAGCUGCCAUCUUGGUGCUGGAAAUAAAUAUGCAACUUCUAUAAGAGCAAAGAGAAAAGGAAACAGAAGUGGGGGCUGAUACAGAACUCCAACUCCUAUUAAUGGAUGCAAAGUACCCAGGAUGUCAUAAAAUGAGCCCAGUCUUCGGCCAUAAACAAAAGGCAGUCUUGUGUGUUGGCUGCUGCAUUGCCCUGUCAGCCUACAGAAGGAAAAGGAAGGCUGGCCGUUCCGCAGGACACAGCACUAAAAGCACCCUGGUUCAAGAUGAGUGGGAAGCCAUCCCAGUAAACACAUCAUGAAUUUAAAACAAAACAGCAUUACUUCAAAUGAGAUAAUUUUUAAAUAUAUAUUUUGAUGAAUUUGAGAGGUUUGUGGAGGUGGUGAUUUGGUUUUAAUUUUGAUAUGGAGCCUGAGUGUCAGAACAUCAACCUAAAAACAAGGGCAAGGUCCUUUACACUGAACCUAAAAACAAGGGCAGGUUCCUUUCUAUAGGCCGCAAUACACUCCAACUAAAGGAUCAUGAAAGAUCAAAUGACUUCUGUGUGUGUGUGUGUGUGUGUGUGUGUGUGUGUGUGUGUGUGUGUGUGUGUGUAGGUGUGGUGUUAGGAAUAGAACUCUGGACUCACGCAUGUUAGACAAGUGUUCUACAUGAUCACCCUCCUCUCCGCCUUCCUCACUACCAGUACUGCAGCUUUGUGUUGAAAGAAAUGGGUUUUACCAGCCUCCAACAGUUGGACAUGACCACUGACAUGUCAGUGAAAGUUGCUGGAUGGUCCUUCUUGGACAGGCUUUCUACCAUGUGUCGUGUACAUUAAUAUGGUGAAUUGAUGAGGUGGCAGGAAUGAAAACGCCCUCCACAGGUUCAUAUGUUUCAAUGCUUGCUCUGCCCUUUGGGAAAAAUUAGGAGGUAUGGCCUUGUUGGAAGAGGUGUGUCACUGGGGCAGACUGACUUUGUGGUCCAAAAGACUUGAGUGGUCCUUAGUGUGGUUUCUGCCUCUGGUUUCUGUUUAAAGAUGUGACUCGCCUGGUGUUCCUACUCUGACAUCACGAACUUCUGCAUCAGGAAACCCCUGAAAUCAGAAAUCCCAAAUAAAUGAUUUCUCCUUUUUUAAAA